UACGUAGGGGGCGAGCGUUGUCCGGAUUCAUUGGGCGUAAAGCGCGCGCAGGCGGCGUGCAGAGCCCGGCGUGAAAGCCCCCGGCUCAACCGGGGGAGGUCGUCGGGGACCUGCAGGCUUGAGGCCGGUAGGGGCGAGCGGAAUUCCCGGUGUAGUGGUGGAAUGCGUAGAGAUCGGGAGGAACACCAGUGGCGAAGGCGGCUCGCUGGACCGGUCCUGACGCUCAGGCGCGAAAGCGUGGGGAGCGAUCCGGAUUAGAAACCCCCGUAGUCC
rnacentral:rRNA from 1 species